AAAAAAAAAAAAGAGUUUUUUGGGCCAAUGAGAAGAGACCCCCAGCACCCCCACUGGGGGUCUCAUGCAUUUUCCAAGAUUAUUGCAUAACUGUUUUUCAUGAAAAUUGAUGUUUGUUUUGCAUAUUGAACAUUACUCCUCUCAAUGGGCUUGUUAUGGUUUGAGAGUACAAUGUGAUAUGAAUGUGCUAAUCUCUGUUACAGUCCAUUUGGAUUGGAUGAUUUGGGUAGAAAAAAGAAUAAAUUUUUUUUUUUUUUUUUGAAAGCAGUAGGUUUACUUUCUGCCUCAUCAUUUACCCCUGUGCCCUAUCUUUAUCGCUUGUUUUGACUAGCAAACUAUGUUGGUGAUUAGACAAUAUUUUUCUGAGCAAGUUGAAUGGUUUUGACUUUGCGUUUUGAGUUUGGAAUACCUGUUAUUAUUUAGGUGAUUUUUUAGAAUCAAUCACUUACUUAUUGUACUCCUAGUUACCUGUUGCUGUCCUAAGACACUGUCAUUGUUUAUAAAUUUUUGGACCAUUAGAAUACUCACUCAUCUGAUUGUUCAAAGAACGACAAAAUACUAAUUUCAGAACAAAAUUUAUGAAUUCAAGUACAAUUUUUUUGUUUUGAAAAACCUGGGCUCGUGACUCAGCGAUAGCUUGUUAAUUUAGACUAAUUGAUAUUGAACACCUUAUUUUCUCCUUCGCCAUUAUUUUCAUCUUUUGUUUUUUGUUUAUAUUAUUUUUAUCAUUUGGCCCCCGUUCAUCUAUGAGAAUUUGCAACUUUUCAUCAACAUUACCUUGUGUACUUACAUUUUCUAUCCAAAAAGAACUCUGUUUUAGAUUUUCUAAACUCUCCCGUUGCUCGUCUUUGUGCAGUUGCAUGUUUUGUUUUGUUUUUGUUUUUUGGUGAUGUGGGUUAGGUUUUUUUAUUUUUUAUUUUUAUACCUUUCUUUGUCAUUGUAUCUUCUUCUUUCACUUUUGAUUUCUUUUGCAACGAGUUAACAUUGUAAAAGAGGACCAUUGUAAGACUUUCCAAUAUAUUGAUUCUUCAUAGCCAUGAUUGUUGUGGUUUUGUUGCUAUUAUUGGUGUUGCUCUUCUUUUUGUUUUUUGAAUAAAUGGGUGCAAGUCUGCAAGAAAGAUGUUUUUUCUUUAUUAUUAUUAACUUUUUGAUUGGCACAGGGGCAUCCGGAUCAAAGCCCAACUAAUCCUCUGGGGUGCACUGGCUAGGGCUGUUCACGGGUCGGUUCGGCUCGGGUUUACCCUUUAUCCGUCAGCCGAACCGACACUUUCGGGUUAAUAAAUUAGUGAUCCGUGGUCAACCGAAGUGUGGUUCGAAAUCGACCGAAUUAAAGAAGACGGUUUGACGGUCGGUUUGGUCUAAUUCGAAAAUCUAAGUAGGGGUGAAAUUUUUGUGUAAAAUAUUGAAUUAAAUCCAUACUCAUAAAUAUACACACACAUAUAUAUGUAUAUAUACAUAUACACACACACAUCUAUGACAGUGUAUGAACAAAGAAAAAGGGAGAAAGAAAGAGAAAGACUCACCAUCGUAGCUGUAAUCAUCUCCAUCGCCAUCGCAGAUCGUUGCCAUUGUUAACUACAUCGUCUUCACCACAACCAUUACCAUCAAAAGAAAGAGAAGCACAGAUGAAUCAUGAGGGAGAGAUGAGUUUGUCUCUCAAAGAAAAAGAUGAAAAAUGAGAGAAAAAGAAAGGCCAGAAACGAGAUUGAAGAGAGAAAAGAAGAGAUUCUUCAACUUUUGGUCUACCUAGGGUUGAUGAGAGAAAGAAGAAAAAUGAGAAAUAAAUCUGUGAAGACAAUAGAGGGAGAGACUCAUCAUUUUUGUUCUUUCCACGGUUUAUGAGAGAAGAAAGAAGAGAGAGGGGAGGAACAAAUGAGAGUAAGUAAAGAGAGAGAAGGGAAUGCCUUUUCAAUUUUGAGUCUUUCAAGAUUUUAUGAGAGACAUAAAGUGAAGAGAAAUUAAUCUCUUUGGAAAGUGAAGGGGCAGACAGACUGCUAUGAAUACUCUCAAUGUAAAUAUAUAAAUAUUAUAUAUAUACACGUUAUUGUUUCGGUCGGGCUGGGUUUGGCGGAUUUAUAUAUGAAAAAUCCAUUACCGGCCGGGAAUCUAUGAAAUUUAGUAUAGAAAAACCACAGCCGACUGUUCUUCUCUUCGAAACCGUCCGUGGCAGCCCGGACGGUUUGGGCGGGUAUUCGGUUCAUUUGAACAGCCCUAGCACUGGCCCUCUGCAAGAAGUUUCCCACAAAUGCAUCACUAUUAAUUUAAGGGUUUUUCCCUAAACCUUGGAGGGAGUACACCCUCAAGAACCAUGGCCUUGCAACCAAGCCAACCCCUUGGGGCUAUGUUUUAAUAGUUUUAAUAUAUUUACGUACUAUGAAAUAAGAAAAGAACAACAAAUCAAAAAGAAAAAAAAAAGAGAUAAUAAUUUGGUAAAAUAUUAUUAUUUUGAUUUUUAAACAUUUAUGUCUGUAAAUUAUAAGUUUUCAUAUAAGUUUUCAUCGAAGUGUUUAAGGUGGUGAAUUGCAGUUCUACUUGUGCAUAGUUUUUCGUUAGACCUUGAUACCUUACGGUGCACACGCCUUUAAUAACUAUGCCCAACCCCUUAAUUAGGUAGUUUUCAAAUUUAGGUCUGAUAUUUUUAUUUUUAUUUUUAAUGAAUAAUACCCACAAGGUUGAUCUAUUAAAGGGCGCUGCAUUAAUAUAUAUAUAUAUAUAUAUAUUAAAAUGCCAAGAAGAUUUCUGGACUAUUUGGAAAUAGUUUUACUCCACAUGUAGUAACUUGUUAGUACACGUGGCUUACUUAUUUAAAGGAUCAAAAUUUGUAAUAUAACAGGUCCCAUUUGCGAAAGCAAUUGUAUAUAACUUUAGUAUCAUUGAAUGAGUUUUAACAGCAUGAUAUGUAUACCAUCUUUGCCGGAUCUAAGGCAUGGGACAAAAUCAAUGGUUUAAUCAUUCAAUCGAAUACUUUAUAUGUACAGUUUAUUCUUAAAUGGAGCUGAUUGUAUGUCCAUCAUUCAAUCCUUUAAAUAAGUAAGCUUCGUAUGCUGACGCGUAUCUAUAUAUGGAGUAUAUUUUUUCUAGUUUUAAUAUAAAUGUUGGUUCUACUUAUUUCAAUUUAAAGCGAAAGACGUGAUCUCAAUUAGUUAUGUCAGCUAUGUGGAUCCAUUUCCUUUAAGUUGACUCAAAUAGAGCCAUGUUGCCUAUUGGGCAUUAAAAUUAUAUAUCAUAAUUAGCCUUUACUUCAUUUUCUUUCCCUUUCUUCUUCUUCUACUUCUUCUUACCCUUUUCUUCCACAAAUCCAAGAUCUGAACAUGACCUUAAUUUCGGUUUCAACAUAAUUCCCAAUAGGCUAGAUUUACAAUAGGCUUGAGAACAAAGUAAUUUUUCUGUGCUGUUUGUUUUUGUAGUUUUGUAAACCAUAAACAAUAGCUUAAUGUUGGAGAUUUGAGUUUAGCAAUCGCUUCACUGUGACUUUACGGGAAACAACAAAAUUAGGAAUGGUGUAAAAAGAGCUUCUACAAGGAAUUUGCAUACUUUACACGGUGACAUGACUUCUUCAUAUCUUAUGGCUGAGGUUUCUGUUGUUAAAACUAUGAACACUGAAUUGUCUGGUUGGAAGUUCAGAACUUCGAUCCAAUGCUUUUUGUUGAAGAAUAGUAGUUCAAAUUUUUUCUCCUCAUAUUAUUCAUCGACCACUUUUUUUUGUAAAGAGUAGCCAUUUCUUCUAAACUUAGUGGGUAGUUUAGAUAGCUGACUUGCAUUAUUUUUGAUUCUCUGCCACAGGUUAGGAUGAAGCUCGUUAAAGAUUGGCUUCCAGUGUUGAAUGUAUGCAAAGAUCACGUCUCGCCCAUGCUGCCCAGUCAUAAAUCACUGUAUUUGGAGCUCGAAGAAACAUUCCUGAAAAUUAUCUCUACACUGCCCAUGUUGGAUGCACAGGAAUUGUUGCAGCAGUGUCUCAGCUUCUCAACUCGAAAUGUUCAAGACUGUCCUCAUUUGCUAACUCCAUUCAAUACCUGGUUCCGUAGUGCAACUCAUCCCCUACAAGCCGAAAAUCUUUGUGAGUAGGGUUUUGAAACUUGUGUUUGACAGUUUUAACAGUCAGUAUUUGUUCUACCAUAGGUUUCUUGCCUUUCCUGUCAAAUAUUGUGCAUAUUGAUAUGAUGUUAGGGUGUAAAACUGAUGGCUGUAUAUAUGCCUUGGUCUCUCUUGAAAGCAAACCAUGUAAAGCACCUGUAGUUCGAGAAAAUAAAUCUUUGAAGGCUGUUGCCAAGCCAACUGUUUGUGGCUGUUUUUCAAUGCCAUUUGAUAGACUUGAUUCCUGAGUA